AAGGCAGCAGGCACGCAAAUUACCCACUCCCGGCACGGGGAGGUAGUGACAAAAAAUAACGAUACGGGACUCAUCCGAGGCCCCGUAAUCGGAAUGAGUACACUUUAAAUUCUUUAACAAGAACCCAAUGGAGGGCAAGUCUGGUGCCAGCAGCCGCGGUAAUUCCAGCUCCAUUAGCGUAUAUUAAAGUUGUUGCGGUUAAAAAGCUCGUAGUUGGUUCUGUGUCCCACGCUGUCGGUUCACCGCCUGCCGGUGCAACUGGCAUGCCGUGGGAUGUCCUGUCGGUGGCGGUUGUGACCCUCGGUGGGCGUAGGUUGACCGAAACCCGCCGCUGUGAGUUGCCUGCCGAUUCAAUCCUGCCGCGGUGCUCUUCACUGAGUGUCGAGGUAGGCCGACACGUUUACUUUGAACAAAUUAGAGUGCUUAAAGCAGGCUGAAUUCUGCCUGUAUAGUGGUGCAUGGAAUAAUGGAAUAAGACCUCGUUUCUAUUUUAUUGGUUUUCGGAAUACGAGGUAAUGAUCAAUAUGGACAGGCGGGGGCAUUCGUAUUGCGACGUUAGAGGUGAAAUUCUUGGAUCGUCGCAAGACGGACUAGAGCGAAAGCAUUUGCCAAGUAUGUCUUAGUUGAUCAAGAACGAAAGUUAGAGGUUCGAAGGCGAUCAGAUACCGCCCUAGUUCUAACCAUAAACGAUGCCAGCCAGCGAUCCGCCGAUGUUCCUCCGAUGACUCGG
rnacentral:rRNA from 1 species